GACGAACGCUGGCGGCGUGCUUAACACAUGCAAGUCGAACGGUAAGGCCCUUCGGGGUACACGAGUGGCGAACGGGUGAGUAACACGUGGGUGAUCUGCCCUGCACUUCGGGAUAAGCCUGGGAAACUGGGUCUAAUACCGGAUAGGACCACUGCCUGCAUGGGUGGCGGUGGAAAGCUUUUGCGGUGUGGGAUGGGCCUGCGGCCUAUCAGCUUGUUGGUGGGGUGAUGGCCUACCAAGGCGACGACGGGUAGCCGGCCUGAGAGGGUGACCGGCCACACUGGGACUGAGAUACGGCCCAGACUCCUAAGGGAGGCAGCAGUGGGGAAUAUUGCACAAUGGGCGCAAGCCUGAUGCAGCGACGCCGCGUGAGGGAUGACGGCCUUCGGGUUGUAAACCUCUUUCAGCACCGACGAAGCGCAAGUGACGGUAGGUGCAGAAGAAGGACCGGCCAACUACGUGCCAGCCGCCGCCGUAA
rnacentral:rRNA from 1 species